AGCAGUUUGGCCUAGUGGAUAGAGCUCAGGACUGGGAAUCAGGAGGACCUGGGUUCUAAUCCCAGCUCUGCCC
rnacentral:tRNA from 1 species